UACGUAGGGUGCGAGCGUUAAUCGGAAUUACUGGGCGUAAAGCGUGCGCAGGCGGUUCGUUGUGUCGGUGGUGAAAUCCCCGGGCUUAACCUGGGAAUGGCCAUGGAAACUGGCGAACUGGAGUGCGGCAGAGGGGGGUGGAAUUCCGCGUGUAGCAGUGAAAUGCGUAGAGAUGUGGAGGAAUACCGAUGGCGAAGGCAGCCUCCUGGGCCAACACUGACGCUCAUGCACGAAAGCGUGGGGAGCAAACAGG
rnacentral:rRNA from 1 species